AGGGCAGUAAAUAAUAAUGCAGGAGGCAGGUUUUGGUUGUAAAUCAAUACCUGAAUUAGAGGUGUGCUCACUUCUAUUAUCUUCAUCAUCAUUACGUUGGUAAUCUUCACUGGGAGCAAAAUAACAAAAAAUAACAUCUGCCAAUCCAUGAAUGAUUGGGAGGUAUGUACAUAUGGACACCUACUUAAAUCUUUCCUUGGAGUGGUCGUGAAAAUCCCAUCAAAUCUUUCCUGGAAAAAUGUUGGAAUUUGCAUAAAAUUAAUCACCAAAUGACGCAACCCCAUAGCCGUAAACAUCAUGUAUGUCCUCCGAAGACAAAAGUUGGAUGGGACGGAUGGAGCCGACACAUUUAUAUAGGGUUUCUAUUAUAUAAUUGCAUUAGGUGAUCCGUUUUAAUUAUUCGGAACUAUUAGCACUUACCAAAUUGACGUAAAUAUUCUUGUAAACAAUGUUUGAACUGUAUUUAUUCAAAACCAUGUUGGCAGUCGAUGCAUUUUUUAAUUUUGUCGAACUGUACUGUUUGAUUUAAUUAUAAAUAUUAUCAUAAACUGAAAUUAAUUCAUUAAAUUAAAAUAACACUGAAUACAUACUUCUGGAUACGAAAUUCUCAGACGAUCCAUGUCAUCUUUCUCUAUGAAUAGAUAUUUAAAUGCAUACAUAGUUAAGUUCUGUGGUCGAUCAUUGAAUAUCUAAAUAUUUACCAAUCUCCUUUGGAUCAAAUCGUUCCGUUUUUGUCAAUAAAAUUGUGAGUUCCAAA